AGUGAACGCUGGCGGUAGGCCUAACACAUGCAAGUCGAACGGCAGCACAGAGGAGCUUGCUCCUUGGGUGGCGAGUGGCGGACGGGUGAGGAAUACAUCGGAAUCUACUCUGUCGUGGGGGAUAACGUAGGGAAACUUACGCUAAUACCGCAUACGACCUACGGGUGAAAGCAGGGGAUCUUCGGACCUUGCGCGAUUGAAUGAGCCGAUGUCGGAUUAGCUAGUCGGCGGGGUAAAGGCCCACCAAGGCGACGAUCCGUAGCUGGUCUGAGAGGAUGAUCAGCCACACUGGAACUGAGACACGGUCCAGACUCCUACGGGAGGCAGCAGUGGGGAAUAUUGGACAAUGGGCGCAAGCCUGAUCCAGCCAUACCGCGUGGGUGAAGAAGGCCUUCGGGUCGUAAAGCCCUUUUGUUGGGAAAGAAAUCCAGCUGGCUAAUACCCGGUUGGGAUGACGGUACCCAAAGAAUAAGCACCGGCUAACUUCGUGCCAGCAGCCGCCGCAG
rnacentral:rRNA from 1 species